AAAUAUUCCAUCCAUAAUGAUAUCUAAAUUCAAAUUACAAAUCAUCCUAUCAUAUUAAGUAAUGCAGAAAAUCAUGCAACUAAAUAGAAGAUUACAAUAGAUAUUAUUAGGAUUCAAGGUUUACCAUUUCUAUGUUGGAAUUGCAAAAUUUGUUUGUUCCACAUAUUGAAAGAAACCAGAAGUAUUGACCAUAAUAAACCCCAUCAAAAUCAUACCAAUUCCAAUCCCUAUACCCAAUACACAACAAUUCUUCCCAAUUCCACUUUUCACUUUUAAACAAGAAUCCUUUUC
rnacentral:lncRNA from 1 species